rnacentral:rRNA from 1 species
GCAGUCGCCGCGGGAAUACGAAGGGUGCAAGCGUUAAUCGGAAUUACUGGGCGUAAAGCGUGCGUAGGCGGUUCGUUAAGUCUGCUGUGAAAUCCCCGGGCUCAACCUGGGAAUGGCAGUGGAUACUGGCAAGCCAGAGUGUGUCAGAGGAUGGUGGAAUUCCCGGUGUAGCGGUGAAAUGCGUAGAGAUCGGGAGGAACAUCAGUGGCGAAGGCGGCCAUCUGGGACAACACUGACGCUGAGGCACGAAAGCGUGGGGAGCAAACAGGAUUAGAGACCCCCGUAGUCCCUGUCUCUUAUAC